rnacentral:rRNA from 1 species
GACGAACGCUGGCGGCGUGCUUAACACAUGCAAGUCGAACGGAAAGGCCCUGCUUUUGUGGGGUGCUCGAGUGGCGAACGGGUGAGUAACACGUGAGUAACCUGCCCUUGACUUUGGGAUAACUUCAGGAAACUGGGGCUCAUACCGGAUAGGAGCUCCUGCUGCAUGGUGGGGGUUGGAAAGUUUCGGCGGUUGGGGAUGGACUCGCGGCUUAUCAGCUUGUUGGUGGGGUAGUGGCUUACCAAGGCUUUGACGGGUAGCCGGCCUGAGAGGGUGACCGGCCACAUUGGGACUGAGAUACGGCCCAGACUCCUACGGGAGGCAGCAGGGGGGAAUAUUGCACAAUGGGCGGAAGCCUGAGGCAGCAACGCCGCGUGCGGGAUGACGGCCUUCGGGUUGUAAACCGCUGUCGCCUGUGACGAAGCGUGAGUGACGGUAAUGGGUAAAGAAGCACCGGCUAACUACGUG